rnacentral:rRNA from 1 species
GGACAUAUCAUAACGAAGAGGUAUCGUAAUUGAAGAGGUUUGGAAAGACCCACCACAGAAGGUAAUAGUCCUGUAUGUUAAACGAGAAGACUUCAGAUAUGAUCCAGAGUACCACGGGACACGUGAAACCCUGUGGGAAGCAGGAGGGACCACCCUCCAAGGCUAAAUACUACCUAGUGACCGAUAGCGUAUAGUACCGUGAGGGAAAGGUGAAAAGAACCCCGGGAGGGGAGUGAAAUAGAACCUGAAACCCUGCACUUACAAGCUGUGGAAGCACAUUUCUUGUGUGACCGCGUACUUUUUGUAGAACGGGCCAACGAGUUACGUUAAGUAGCAAGGUUAAGCACUUAAGGUGUGGAGCCGUAGCGAAAGCGAGUUUUAACUGAGCGUUCAGUUACUUGACGUAGACCCGAAACCGGGCGACCUACCCAUGAGCAGGAUG